rnacentral:lncRNA from 1 species
AUGGCAGGGCUCAAGAAUCAAUUUAUUGAGAAGUUGAAGUUGCUGAAGGAAAAGAAUCAAAACCUUUUGGACCUUUAGUAGAAAUAUAAUGAACAAGAGAAGAAGAUUUUUGAGCUAUACACCCAAGCUGAGGAGAACAAAAAACUGGAGUCGAGACUUAAAGAGGUGGAGAAAGCCAAUGAAGCUCAUAGAAAAGCUAUCGAAGCACUUAAAAAGUAGCU